UUUCCGUAGGUGAACCUGCGGAAGGAUCAUUAUUGUAUAACCUAGGUUCGAGUGCUGUCGCUGGCUCGAGAGGUCGUGGACGCCCGAUUGCGCUCACACACAUCCAUCUCACCCCUAUGUGCACCACCGCGUGGGUCCCCCUUUGUCUGGUUCGGAGGGGGGCUUACGUUUUCACACAAACUUUGUAUGCAGUGUCGAAUGUAUUUUUUCUUUUUGCGCUCACGCAAUCAAUACAACUUUCAACAACGGAUCUCUUGGCUCUC
rnacentral:misc_RNA from 1 species